GACGAACGCUGGCGGCGUGCCUAAUACAUGCAAGUCGAGCGAAGUUUUUCUGGUGCUUGCACCGGAAAACUUAGCGGCGAACGGGUGAGUAACACGUAAAGAACCUGCCUCAUAGACUGGGACAACUAUUGGAAACGAUAGCUAAUACCGGAUAACAGCAUUAACUGCAUGGUUGAUGUUUGAAAGUUGGUUUUGCUAACACUAUGAGAUGGCUUUGCGGUGCAUUAGCUAGUUGGUGGGGUAAAGGCCUACCAAGGCGACGAUGCAUAGCCGACCUGAGAGGGUGAUCGGCCACACUGGGACUGAGACACGGCCCAGACUCCUACGGGAGGCAGCAGUAGGGAAUCUUCCGCAAUGGGCGAAAGCCUGACGGAGCAACGCCGCGUGAGUGAAGAAGGAUUUCGGUUCGUAAAGCUCUGUUGUUAGGGAAGAAUAAUUGUGUAGUAACUAUACACAGUAGAGACGGUACCUAACCAGAAAGCCACGGCUAACUACGUGCCAGCAGCCGCGGUAAUACUUAGGUGGCAAGCGUUGUCCGGAAUUAUUGGGCGUAAAUUGGCGCGCUGGUGGUUUAAUAUGUCUGAUGUGAAAGCCCACGGCUCAACCGUGGAGGGUCAUUGGAAACUGUUAAACUUGAGUGCAGGAGAGAAAAGUGGAAUUCCUUGUGUAGCUGUGAAAGGGGUGUGAUUAGGGAGGAAACACCCUGUGUGGAGUGCUGUUUUUUUGGCUGGUUACUGACAUUGAUGUGUGAUUGGGUGUGGAUCUAUUUUGAUUAUAUGCUGGUGUUGUCCUGGGCGAAUUCUACAUUGUGUGUUGUGGUUAGGAUCUGGCCUUGUGCUGCGUGUGAAAAAAAUAAUAUGAUGUUUUUUCCCUUUGUGAUGUUUAUUAGUUGUGGUGUUGUGGUG
rnacentral:rRNA from 1 species